rnacentral:rRNA from 1 species
UACGAGAGGCCCAAACGUUAUUCGGAUUUACUGGGCUUAAAGAGUUCGUAGGCGGUCCGUCAAGUGGGGUGUGAAAGCCCUCGGCUCAACCGAGGAAUUGCGCUCCAAACUGUCGGGCUCGAGGGAGAUAGAGGUGAGCGGAACUGAUGGUGGAGCGGUGAAAUGCGUUGAUAUCAUCAGGAACACCAGAGGCGAAGGCGGCUCACUGGGUCUUUUCUGACGCUGAGGAACGAAAGCUAGGGGAGCAAACGGG